rnacentral:rRNA from 1 species
AAGUCAUAACAAGGUUUCCGUAGGUGAACCUGCGGAAGGAUCAUUAAUAGUGCCCUCUGAUGCAAAUCAUUGGGUUAGAUCUGCUCUCUUCGCAAGAAGAGGGUUUCCAUACACACCGUGAACUGUGGCUUCGGCCAUCACAAACUGUUAGUAAUGAAUGUAAUAUCAUAACAAAAACAAAACUUUUAACAACGGAUCUCUUGGCUCUCGCAUCGAUGAAGAACGCAGCGAAAUGCGAUAAGUAAUGUGAAUUGCAGAAUUCAGUGAAUCAUCGAAUCUUUGAACGCACCUUGCGCCCUUUGGUAUUCCGAAGGGCAUGCCUGUUUGAGUGUCAUGAAACCUCACCCCACUUGGGUUUUUGCCUGAGCGGUGGUGUAUUGGGUGUUGCCUUGCUAAAGGAUCGCCUUAAAGACAUAAGCACCUUGGAUGUAAUACGUUUCAUCCUUCUGGGUGGCUGAUAACCCCACAUAUUCAUGAUCUGGCCUCAAAUCAGGUAGGGCUACCCGCUGAACUUAA